rnacentral:rRNA from 1 species
GAUGAACGCUGGCGGCGUGCCUAAUACAUGCAAGUCGAGCGAACGGACGAGAAGCUUGCUUCUCUGAUGUUAGCGGCGGACGGGUGAGUAACACGUGGAUAACCUACCUAUAAGACUGGGAUAACUUCGGGAAACCGGAGCUAAUACCGGAUAAUAUUUUGAACCGCAUGGUUCAAAAGUGAAAGACGGUCUUGCUGUCACUUAUAGAUGGAUCCGCGCUGCAUUAGCUAGUUGGUAAGGUAACGGCUUACCAAGGCAACGAUGCAUAGCCGACCUGAGAGGGUGAUCGGCCACACUGGAACUUGGACACGGUCCAGACUCCUACGAGAGGCAGCAGUAGGGAAUCUUCCGCAAUGGGCGAAAGCCUGACGGAGCAACGCCGCGUGAGUGUUGAAGGUCUUCGGAUCGUAAAACUCUGUUAUUAGGGAAGAACAUAUGUGUAAGUAACUGUGCACAUCUUGACGGUACCUAAUCAGAAAGCCACGGCUAACUACGUG